rnacentral:rRNA from 1 species
ACGCUCGACACCUACGGGAGGCAGCAGUGGGGAAUAUUGCACAAUGGGGGAAACCCUGAUGCAGCAACGCCGCGUGAAGGAAGAAGGUUUCGGAUCGUAAACUUCUAUCAAUAGGGAAGAAAGAAAUGACGGUACCUAAAUAAGAACGCCCCGGCUAACUACGUGCCUGCAGCCGCGGUAAUCUGAGCGGGCUGGCAAGGC